GAUGAAGAACGUAGCGAAAUGCGAUAAGUAAUGUGAAUUGCAGAAUUCAGUGAAUCAUCGAAUCUUUGAACGCACAUUGCGCCCCUUGGUAUUCCGGGGGGCAUGCCUGUUCGAGCGUCGUUUCAACCCUCAAGCUUCUGCUUGGUCUUGGGCCGUGCCGGCAACGGCUGGCCUUAAAACUAGUGGCGGUGCCAUCGAGCUCUACGCGUAGUAAUUCUAUCUCGCGUCUGGGCUUCGGUGGACGCUGGCCAGCAACCCCCAAUUUUCUAUGGUUGACCUCGGAUCAGGUAGGGAUACCCGCUGAACUUAAGCAUAUCAAUAAGCGGAGGA
rnacentral:misc_RNA from 1 species